rnacentral:rRNA from 1 species
AUUGUGUCAGCCGCCGCGCGGUAAUACGGAGGUGGCGAGCGUUACUCGGAAUCAUUGGGUGUAAAGGGCAAGUAGGCGGCCUGUUAAGUGAGGGGUGAAAUCUUCCGACUCAAUCGGAAAACUGCCUUUCAAACUGACGGGCUUGAGGUUGGAAGAGGGAAACGGAAUUAGCAGUGUAAGGGUGAAAUCUGUAGAUAUUGCUAAGAACACCGGCGGCGAAGGCGGUUUCCUGGUCUGAACCUGACGCUGAAUUGCGAAAGCUAGGGGAGCGAACAGAAUUAGAUACUCUGGUAGUCCUAGCCGUAAACGAUGAGCACUAGGUGUUGGUCCUUCUAGGGUCAGUGCCGCAGCUAACGCAUUAAGUGCUCCACCUGGGGACUACGGCCGCAAGGCUAAAACUCAAAGGAAUUGACGGGGACCCGCACAAGCGGUGGAACAUGUGGUUUAAUUCGAUGCUACGCGAAGAACCUCACCAGGGCUUGACAUACAGGAAGUAGUGAACUGAAAGGGGAACGACCCGUUAAGUCGGGAGCUUGUACAGGUGCUGCAUGGCUGUCGUCAGCUCGUGUCGUGAGAUGUUGGGUUAAGUCCCGCAACGAGCGCAACCAUUGCCACAUGUUGCUACCCUCAUUUGCUUUCGAAAGAAAGCGGUGAGGCGCACUCUUGGGGGACUGCCUGGGAUAACCAGGAGGAAGGUGGAGAUGACGUCAAGUCAGUACGGCCCUUAUGCCCUGGGCUACACACGUGUUACAAUGGCUGGUAUAAAGGGUUGCCAACCCGCGAGGGGGAGCUAAUCUCAAAAAACCAGCCUCAGUUCGGAUUGGAGUCUGCAAUUCGACUCCAUGAAGCCGGAAUCGCUAGUAAUGGGAGAUCAGCUCGCUCCCGUGAAUACGUUCCCGGGUCUUGCACACACCGCCCGUCAAAU